rnacentral:rRNA from 1 species
GACGUAGGGCGCGAGCGUUGUCCGGAUUUAUUGGGCGUAAAGAGCUCGUAGGCGGUGCGGUAAGUCUGCGGUGAAAUCUCCCGGCUCAACUGGGAGUCUGCCGUGGAAACUGCCGUGCUUGAGUGUGGGAGAGGUGAGUGGAAUUCCCGGUGUAGCGGUGAAAUGCGUAGAGAUCGGGAGGAAGGCCGGUGGCGAAGGCGGCGCUCUGGAACGUUUCUGACGCUGAGGCUCGAAAGCGUGGGGAGCAAACAGG